UAUCCACCUUCUGAAGAUCAACUACACAGCUUGUCUCAGGAUAAAUAUUCAUAUCGACCUGGCCAGAGUGGGGAAAGAAGAAAAGGCAAUGGAGAGGAAGCAAAUAUCAGAACAAGGUGCUCAGUGUCCUCUUGGUCUUCCACUAUCCAAGUCUACUCUUAAGAAUCUGAAACUUGUUCACAUUCUAACAGCUUUCUUCUAACAAGAGGACCUGCAUCUCCAUGGAGAUAAGAAGAAUGAAACACUGCCAAUGUAAUUCCAGGUCUCUAAAAAGUUCUGAAGAGUUUUAGGAGAAAGAGACAACCCCAAAUCACUUUGUUAAGGUGGUUAUCUUCUCUUACUACAAGCAACAUAGGCUUUCUUCAGUUGUAAAGUACAAUAAGAAAAAUCUGACAUUCUUUCUUCUGCAAAAUGAGUUGAAGGUGUUAGAGUUUGAAGUCUCCUUCCCAAAGUUGGAACCUAACUGGGAGUGGUGGUACCGCACCUGCUGAGAAGGUAGCAAUAGGAAGCCAUGAGCUGGAUGGAUGCUUGACCGAUCUUUCCUCAAGCAAAUGCAAAAGGACUCCCUAACUAAAUAACAGGGCACAGGAUCUCUUAUGUCCAAGACACUUUUUUUUUUUAAGAAAAUAGCCUAUUGCUAACCUGGGUGUAUAAAAGAUCAUGUGUCACUGGUCCUUGGAAAAAAAGGAUAUAUCCCACAGACCAUAUUGCAUAGUUACCGACAUAAAUAUUUUCAGCAGAGAACCACCCUGUUCUGGGUCAUCAUGACUGAUGACAGUUCCAUAUUGGCAUGAGAGAAGAAUCCUCAUUCAAAUCUAGGAACUGAAAUGGUUUGGAUUUUCUAAAUUCAACCCAUGUCUUAAGUAGUCUAUAACUCUUAACCAGGUAAUGUCAACAUUGGAUUCUGAGGAUGGGGAAACUUCUUCCUCCUGCCCAGACUUUCUCCAGUAUAAGAAGCAAGCAGAGCAAAAUCUUCUGUAAACAAUGGCUUUCACUGUGUGUCCGAUGACUUUGGCAGGACUUGGCUAUAUUCAUUAAAUACCAACAACUUUCUUAUUUAACUAUUUGUUUUCUCUUCAUUGGCCCUCUCCCAUUCCUCA